rnacentral:lncRNA from 1 species
AAGAUUAGGAUUUGAUUUAGGAUUUGGUUAAGAUUUAUUUAGGAUUUAGGAUUUGGUUAGGAUUUAUUUAGGAUUUAAGAUUUGGUUAGGAUUUGAUUUAGGGUUUAGGAUUUGAAUUAGGAUUUAGUUAGGAUUUGAUUUUAGGAUUUAGGAUUUAGUUAGGGUUUGGUUUAGGAUUUAAGAUUUGGAUUAGGGUUUGGUUUAGGAUUUAGGAUUUGGAUUAGGAUUUGGUUAGGAUUUUAUUUAUGGUUUAAGAUUUGGUUUAAGAUUUGGUUGGGAUUUGGUUUAAGGUUUGUUUAGGGUUUGAUUUAGGAUUUAAGAUUUUAUUAGGAUUUAAGAUUCAAUUAAUUUUGGCCUAAAGUUUGAAUGAAGUUCAAUAGGAUUUUAACUAGAAUUAAAUUAAGAUUGAAUUGAGAUAUAUUUGAGUGAUAUUUGUGAUCCUUCUAAUAUUUCUUUAAG